rnacentral:rRNA from 1 species
AGAGUGAACGCUGGCGGUAGGCCUAACACAUGCAAGUCGAACGGCAGCACAGUGGUAGCAAUACCAUGGGUGGCGAGUGGCGGACGGGUGAGGAAUACAUCGGAAUCUACCUUUUCGUGGGGGGAUAACGUAGGGAAACUUACGCUAAUACCGCAUACGCCCUUCGGGGGAAAGCCGGGGAUCGCAAGACCUGGCGCGGAUAGAUGAGCCGAUGUCGGAUUAGCUAGUUGGUGAGGUAAUGGCUCACCAAGGCGACGAUCCGUAGCUGGUCUGAGAGGAUGAUCAGCCACACUGGAACUGAGACACGGUCCAGACUCCUACGGGAGGCAGCAGUGGGGAAUAUUGGACAAUGGGCGCAAGCCUGAUCCAGCCAUACCGCGUGGGUGAAGAAGGCCUUCGGUUGUAAA